AAUAGUUUAAAUAAACUCUUUGUUAUACUAUUAGAGCAACCAAGCCAUUACGUUAUACUAUUAAACACAAAUACAUUUAUUUUAACAGUUGGGCCAUAUGACAACACCAAAAUCAUCUGAGUAGAUUUAGCAUAGAUUUGACCCAACCAAUUACCCAACCGGACCCUAAAAUAUUGUGCCUUUCACCCUUAUUAAUAUGUGAACCCUAAUUUGUUCACUCAUAUCUACAAAUGUCUCGCCCUCUCUUCCACAACUCAAAUGCUAUAACUUCUUUCAAAUUUUUUUGUUCUUCUUCAACCAACACAUUUGAUAGUCUUGGUUUGAUGUCUAGUUCUAGUGUUACAUGAGAAGGAGGUGCAACUAUUGGGAGAUUGCAAACAACUUCCCUUCGAUGACUACAAACAAACUCGGAAGGAGAUUCUACAAGUGUGUUAACCCUAAAGUAAGUGAUUUUGUUGGUGAUUCAUUACUCGUCGAUGCAUUUAAAUUUUUAUUUUUUUGCUCUUUAACAUAGUUAUUGAUUGUAUUUGUAAGAACGAGUCAUAUGGAUAUUGGGAAUGGCAAGACGAAGCCCUCCCGGACAAAGCGUUGAGAGUAAUCAACGAUUUCAAGUCUAAAUUAGAUGUUGCCAAUGUCAAAAUUAGGAUGUUGAAUAUGUUGUUCGAUGAGUGCAAGCUUGAAAGGAACAAAUUAAUGGAAAAUUUGAUAUUUUGGAGGCUAUAAAUGAUGUUGAAGUGAAUGAAUCAAGGGAGAUGUAAGUGAAAGUGAUGCAAUGAAGAUAUUCACUAUGGUUGCAUUUGCACUGUUAGUCGGAUUUGUUAUGGCAUUGUUCAUGAAAUAAAUUUUGCAUUUUGUGUAGUGCAGCAGGAUUUUGAUGAAGUUAAAUGUUGUAAAAUUUAGUUUUUCAUGAAUGUUUUGUGUUGGUCAACUUGGUUGCAAUCCACACUUUCAUGGAUGCAUUUUGUAUAGUGCACUCUACUAAAGGUCUUCCGAUUCUGCUGCGGGUAUUAUAUUUUCUUGGAUCUUAUCGAUCUAUGUCCUUUUUGGUCUAUGUGAUAUCCUCCUUUUUUCGCUUUUCUUUCUUUCAUCUUCCUAAUUCCUCAGGUAAGCUUCAUGCCAAUCUGAUUAAGGUAAGGGGAAAGACCUAAUUUCAUCAUUCAUAUAUAUUCGUCUUAGCCCUGCUUCGGCUUCAAUCCGACAUCUCAUUUCCCCUUCAUCAUUUGAUUUUUUGCAUCUAAGAGUUGAUCUUGCAAAGGGAGUAUAGUUUGAUAACAAGCGAUUUGUAAUCAAUAAAAAGUACCACACGAUUUUGUACCCAUCAGUCUUGGAUCUUUACCUUAGCCAGUUUUAUUUGGUUAUGAACGAAAGGCUUUAUCCCUAGCGUUAAGGUCUCUAUCAAACACUCUUCUUUUGUGUAGUGCAGUAUACCUUUCAUUUUCGGAUUUAUUAUGUUGUUCAGCUUGGUUGUAAUCACUAAAUAACUCUUCAUAUGUCAUGUUAAUGCCCAGUUUAACAAAAUCAUGCAGCGUAAAAUUGGGCAGUUCACUAACUGUAAAAAUCUGUGCAUCCACUUUAAUGUGGUUAAUCGGUCUAUGAUGCAGUAAUUACACAACAUGAAGUUCUGCAUAUAAAACAACUUAAGAACAACAUAUUGACCCUAAUGCAGUAAAAAGUUGUGCAAUUCACUAACAAUAAGAAUCUGGCAUCACUCUAAUGUAGUAAAUUUAUUCUACAUGUCACAAAUGCAGUAAAAUCUGGACAGUUAUCACCAAUGCAAUAAUUACAUAUCAGAAGCACUAUCAAUGCAGUAAUUACAUAUCACCAAAAAUAGUAAAGUUAGCAGGUGAAACUGAUGAUUAGAUGUCAAACUAUAGUCCCAAAAACUAACACAACCUAAAUCAUACUAUGACAUUCAAUUCAGUUACCAAUACUAAUACUAACAUAACAUUAAACAGGAGACUGUCAUUAAGUUUGCAGUAAAUCACAUCCCAAAAUAAACACAAAACUACAUAGAACAACUUGAUCACUUUUAUUUCUUAUCUUCAUCUUCCCAAUCUUCUAUUGCCUUUGUUUUUCUAACUGAUUUGAAGUUGUAGCUGCUUUACCCUUCCACAUCAAGCCUGCUGAUGAAUAUGAAAAAUAUAUGGGCUCACUAACACUAGUGUGAUCACUAGUAAAGUUGAUUGAUCUUGUCCCAGCUGGUAAGUUUACCUUCUGCCUCAGUUAAAGUCUUGUCUUGUCUUCUGAUAUCACCAUUGGCCUAACCACAACAUCUUUAUCAUGUUCUAUCUCUAGGAAAUUUGGAAUCAUAUUUGAUUGAACAACUCUAGGUGUAAGCAUGAAGCUAAAUCUAUUUUCCUGACUUAAUUGAGUCAUUUGUGGUGCUGAACGGUGUAUUUCAUCUUUUGUUUCUGAAUCUAACAAAGUUCAUGUCAUUUUCAAAGGUUAUUUUCCCUUGCUUAGUUGUUUUUCCUUUGGUUGUUAUUAAAAAAAUAAAGUUAGAAAACAUAAAUAGGUACAAGUUCAACAUAUGUUCAAAUUGUAGAUUACCCUAGCACAAGUUCUUGCAUUAUGGUUUAGUUGUCCAUAUUUUCCACAAGUCAUAAUUGUACCUUUUCUGGACUCUGACCACAGUUCUUGCUUUUUAGUUGUCUCAUCCUUCUGCCUAUACCUCUUAAUUUUUGGCUUGCCAGUCAACUUCACCAAGUAUGGGGUCUCCAUUGCUUGUGAUGGGUCAAUUUUCCAAAAACUUCUUCUCUAACAAGUUGGAGCUUGCGUCUAUAAGUAUGUAGAAAUGCCUCCUUACUGUACCACCAGGGUCACCCAUGUUGUGAAGUAUAGCUCCAUUAGCAUAAGGGAACGGGAUUCAUGUAAGGUCCAAUUCCCUACAGGUGCACUUCUUUAUGCUUAAGUUGACACAAUGCUUGUCAGACGCUUCACUAACUUCAUAUCCUCCUUCUCUAUUGGAAUUAACUUUACACACUUAAGCAAUCUCCAUGAAUUCAUUGUAUAGUUCUAUGCUAUUUGGACAGAAUUAUUUCACCAUGUACUAGGAUCAGCUUCAUGUUUUAUCAUCAUGUUCAUAACUUUGAGUCUAAUGUCUUCCAACAUCUUAAUGAUUGGCUUUUUCCUUUCUUCCAGAAUCCCUGAAUUGAAUGAUUCAGCCAAAUUGUUAUCAACUGAUUGAUUCUUGCAAACUGUAUCUAGAUAAUCUCAGCACCAAGACUGUGGUGGGUACUUCAAUAAACUCUUUGUUGCAUCCUUGUUCAACUCUACUAGCUUGCUUAGUUGAUCUUUGAAGUCUUCUUCAUAAGUACACUAUGAACACCACCAAAGUAGUUUUUUGGUUUCCCCGGUAUUGUAUGUCUUGCACUAGUUAAACUCGAUAUGUCUUAACACAAAACCUAUGAUGUGCUUAUGGUAGAACAAUUUUAAUUGUCUCAAUAAAUCCCUAUAACAAAUUCAGAAAAUAUGCAAAAAGAAAAAAUUCAGAAAUAGAAACUGGACAGAAGUAGAUGGCAACAGAAAGAAAAAAAAUUCAGAAACAUUACCUUUUGCAUGUCUGACAUAAAUGCGAUUCCUUCUCCUUCCGCAAGGUCUAGAAAUCCCUGAAGCAAUUGUAGAAACCUGUUCCAAGAAUGUUUUGUCUCCUUAUCAACAACAUCCCAUGCAAAAGGAUAAAACUGAUUUUUUGUAUCUUGUCCAGCAACAACUAGCAAUUAACCAUUGGCUUUCCCUUUUAAAAAUGUGCUAUAUACACCAAUAAAUGGUCUUAACUCUAACAUAAAACCCAUGUUCAUAGUGUUGAAAUAAAAUAUAUCCUCAAGAAUCUUCUUUUCCCAUUUUCAAGUGCAUUUUUUGAAAUGUUAAUCACUGCAUCACUGCAUAAAUUACUCUCCCUCAAUUCAAUAGCAUAAGCAUCAAGUUUGUUGUACGCAUCUGCAAAACUCCCAUCUAAGGUCCCCAAUAUUAUUCUUUUUGCCCUCUUGCACUUCCCAUGACUCACAUUUAACUCAAAAAUCCUUUUCAAUCAAGUACUAUCUCCCUUAACUUAUAGUUAAGAUUAUCAUGUAGCUUUCCCUUAAAGUAAUGUGCAAUGGUAUCAAAAUCAACAGUAUUACUAUCAUAUACAGUGCCACAAUUAUGUUCUGGCUCUAAUGUCUUUACAGUAAAUCCUACAUUACCAUCUUUGGAUAUUAAACAAAUAAAGUAACAUCCCACAGUGCAUGUAUACCAAACCCUCAUUGGGACACUCUUCCUCAAUUUUAAAACUUUCUUGUUGGCUAGAGCAUACAACUUCAUAAACCCGAUCGACCGUUUUGAGCUCUAGCGCAUCGUUCAGAUAUCUGAGGCCAUGAGCAACUUCAUUUCAAGUAUUAUGACUUGUACGCAUGGUCAGAAUUGAAUUUCGGGAAGUUCGGAGUUGAUUUGGAAAGAGAAUUCUCACUUCGGAAGCUUAAAGUUGAAAAAAUUAACUAGGACUGGAUUUUUGAGUACUCGAAAUCGGGAUCUGAAGGUUCCAGGAGGUUUUUAUGAUGAUUUUGGACUUGGACAUAUGCUCGGAUCGGGCCUUGGAUGACCCGGGAGCAUUUUGGCACCUAUUGUGGAAGUUAUCAUUUUAGAAGAAAUUUCAUAAGUUUGGCUUGAAGUGUAUUUCAGUGUUAUCAAUGACCGUUUGGGAUUCCAAGUCUGGGAGUAGAUCCGUAUGGUGAUUUUGGAGUUUGGAGCAUGAUCGAAAGUGAAUUCGAAGGUCCGUAUGUCAUUUUGGAGUCAUUUGGCUAAAGAUAGAAAAUUGAAGGUUUUUGAGAAGUUUGACCGGAAGUGAACUUUUUGAUAUCGGGGUCGGAUUUUGAUUCUGAAAAUUGGAAUAGGUCUGUAAUGUCAAAUAUGACUUGUGUGUAAAAUUUGAGGUUAAUCAGACGUGAUUUGAUAGGUUUAAACAUCGAAAGUCGAAGUUGGAAAUUUCAAAGUUCAUUAACUUGGAUUGGGGCGCGAUUCAUGGUUCUAACGUUUUUUGAUGUGAUUUGAGACUUCGAGCAAGUCCAUAUUAUAUUUUUAGACUUGUGCGGGCGUAUGGUUUGGAGCCCCGGGAGCUCGGGUGUGAUUCGGGAUAGUUACGUAGUGAUUUGCUAUGCAAUAGGAUUGCCGGUACCAGUAUGAUUGCAUUUGUGAUGCAUUGGUCGCAAAUGCGACCUCGUAUUUGCGAGUUUCUAUUCGGAUUUGCAAGCCUAGGAUUCUAGGGGAAAGUUCGCAUUUGCGAACAAGGGAUCGAUUUUGCGAGGUUGUCACCUUCGCAAUUGCGAAGGAUAUUGUCACAAAUGAGACCAGGACCGAGCAUGGAGUCGCAAAUGCGACUUCUGCAUCUGGAGCUGUGGCUUUUUAUUCCGAGACUUAGCCUAUUUCUCUCAUUUUCCACUUGGCCAUAGGCGAUUUUUGAGAGCAUGUGACGAGGGAUUCCAUCAUCAUCAAAGAGAUAAGUAAUUUCUACACAUCAUAAGUUAAAUACAUAGAUUAUAGGUAGAUUUAACAUGUGAAAAUUAAGGAAAAUCAAGGGUUUUAGAUGAAAAAUCUAGAAUUUGGUAAAAAUUAGAUUUAACCACAAAAAUUAUUAGGGAAUGACGUAAAAAUCAUAUAUUCUUGAUCCUUAGGUUAUGGAUAACAAUAUUCCUUAAAAACAUUUUCGGAAUUCGGGCACUUGGGUCCGGGGAAGAAUUUUAGGAAUCUUGCAUGAGGGUUGGAAAAUUGGUUUAAUAAUUAGAAUAUGAACUUUUGAGCAUGUAUUGACUAGUUCUUCUCCGAUUUGAAUAGUUUUGGAUCGUUCGGCUCCAUAUUGGAGAUUUGAGCGUGUUUCUUGAAAUCGAAAUAUAGGCUUCAGAGCAAGGUGAGUCUCUUUCUAACCUUGUAAGAGGAAAUUGUCUCCACAGGUGAGUUAAUUGAUUAUGUGCUCCUAUUUGUGGGGACAACAUACGCACAAGGUGACAAGAAUCCGUGCGUAGCUACUAUUAUGCUAUUGUCUGGGUAGUCUAGGACCCAAAAGCAUGUUGUACAUAGAUUAUUUGUAAACUUAUUGACAGCUUGAAUUGCUUAAAUCACGUCGAAAUAGUAAAUGAAUUUAAAAAAGGAUUAAACUUUAUUUUUCUUAAAUCAUUAAAGGAAAAUUUUGACUUUUAUUGAAAUAAACACUUCCCGAUAAACUCUUAAUUGGUUGUUUGCCUCUGUGUGUGUAUAUAUAUGUGCCCGCGUCGCACGUAUGAUUCGUGAGCGGGAUAUUUGUUUAUUUAAUGUUGACCGCGUCGCAUGUAUGAUACGCGAGUGGGGUAAUAGAUGCAUCUAUGGUUCGAGCCGUUCGACCUUCGGCAGUGCACAUUUUACAUUUCUGUUGGAUUGGGUCGUACAACGUCGGCAUGAUUUGCACAUGCUUGUAUUGCUUGCCUUGAGAUUGAUAUUUUUUCUCCCCAACUUGAGAGAAUUGAAAAACUUGGAUUAUGAAUCAUGAGACUUUUAAUAUAAAAAGAAACUUUCGCCUAUUCAUGCCUUACUGGAAUUUACUGUCAUUCUUAAUAAUUCCUUGGUUAUUCGCAAUAAUAAUAAUAUAUCAUUAUUGUACCACUAGUAAGUGUCAAAGUCAACCAUCGUCUCUACUUCUUCGAGAUUAGACGGGUUACUCAUUGAGUACACAUUAUUUUCAUACUCAUACUACACUUAUGUGCAUUUUUAUUGCACAGGAAUAUGUAUCUCUAGUGGCCUACUGAGCGUAGCAGCAUGGUUGAUAUGGAGACUUACGUGAGUUGCACUUCUCGAGACGACCCACAGCCAAUAGAGC
rnacentral:lncRNA from 1 species